rnacentral:rRNA from 1 species
GACGAACGCUGGCGGCGUGCUUAACACAUGCAAGUCGAACGAAGAGCGAUGGAAGCUUGCUUCUAUCAAUCUUAGUGGCGAACGGGUGAGUAACGCGUAAUCAACCUGCCCUUCAGAGGGGGACAACAGUUGGAAACGACUGCUAAUACCGCAUACGAUCUAAUCUCGGCAUCGAGGAUAGAUGAAAGGUGGCCUCUACAUGUAAGCUAUCACUGAAGGAGGGGAUUGCGUCUGAUUAGCUAGUUGGAGGGGUAACGGCCCACCAAGGCGAUGAUCAGUAGCCGGUCUGAGAGGAUGAACGGCCACAGUGGGACUGAGACACGGCCCAGACUCCUACGGGAGGCAGCAGUGGGGAAUCUUCCGCAAUGGACGAAAGUCUGACGGAGCAACGCCGCGUGAGCGAUGACGGCCUUCGGGUUGUAAAGCUCUGUUAAUCGGGACGAAAGGCCUCCUUGCGAAUAGUGAGAAGGAUUGACGGUACCGGAAUAGAAAGCCACGGCUAACUACGUG